rnacentral:rRNA from 1 species
UACGGGGGGGGCAAGCGUUGUUCGGAAUUACUGGGCGUAAAGGGCUCGUAGGCGGCCAACUAAGUCAGACGUGAAAUCCCUCGGCUUAACCGGGGAACUGCGUCUGAUACUGGAUGGCUUGAGUUUGGGAGAGGGAUGCGGAAUUCCAGGUGUAGCGGUGAAAUGCGUAGAUAUCAGGAGGAACACCGGUGGUGUAGACGGCUUUCUGGACCGUAACUGACGCUGAGACACGAAAGCGUGGGUAGCAAACAGG